UACAGGGGGGGCAAGCGUUGUUCGGAAUUACUGGGCGUAAAGGGCUCGUAGGCGGCCAACUAAGUCAGACGUGAAAUCCCUCAGCUUAACUGGGGAACUGCGUCUGAUACUGGAUGGCUUGGAUUCGGGAGAGGAAUGCGGAAUUCCAGGUGUAGCGGUGAAAUGCGUAGAUAUCUGGAGGAAUACCGGUGGCGAAGGCGGCAUCCUGGACCGAGAUUGACGCUGAGGAGCGAAAGCUAGGGGAGCAAACGGG
rnacentral:rRNA from 1 species